CUCAACAAGAAAAUGCCCCAAGUUGCUUGAACUUUCAAGAUGGCGGCCAUUUUUAAGAUGGCUUCCAUCUUGAAGUUUCAAGCAACUUGGGGCAUUUUCU